GCCUUAGGGACAGAACACCUCCAUCCACUCCUCUCUUGAGGUGUUGACAGACCCUGUGCUGCUUGGACACUGCUCCUGAACACAUCCACCAAGAUGUCCUGCCAGCAGAACCAGCAGCAGUGCCAGCCUCCUCCCAAGUGUGCCCCCAAGUGCCCCACUCCUAAAUGCCCCCCAAAGUGCCCCCCAGUCUCCUCUUGCUGUGGUGUCAGCUCCGGGGGCUGCUGUGGCUCCAGCUCCGGGGGCUGCUGCAGCUCCGGGUCUGGGGGCUGCUGCCUGAGCCACCACAGGCGCCGCAGGUCCCACCACUGCAGACCCCAGAGGUCUGACUGCUGCAGCAAGCCCUCAGGGGGCUCCGGGUGCUGCGGAGGGGGGAGUGGUCAGUCCUCUGGAGGCAGCUGCUGCUGAAGUGGACGCUGAGCCAAGAAGAGCCAACCUGGGGACAACAAAUGGACAAACACUUCCUCCUCCUCCUCCUGGGAUUGCCUGAGAGGUCCCAGGUGAGGUCUGAACUCUGGGCUGGAGUGACUCUCUGUCCUGGGAUCCGGAAACCUGAAUCUGCUCCCAAGAGUCUGUCUUCUGACCUUUGACACCAGUUGGGCUGUCUGCCCUGGAAUCCCCAAACCACAGACUCUAACUCACUCCCCAGCUAAUCUCCUUGCAUCUGCAGCCUCAAAUGAAAAAAUAAAACAGAAAUCUGCUCA